UUAAUCAUCAUGGCUCGGCUGGGUUUAAUCCAUAAAACCGUGACUUUGCCCUUACAUAGCUUGCCUGGCUCAAUCUGUGCACUGAUCCCAUUUUCCUUGUAUACAUAUCCGUUCUUUCACCCUGGCUCCUUUUUUUGCCCAUAAUGGGAUUAACUGGAGUGACACCAAUCUGAGAUCUCGCUUUAAACUCUGCGGGGUGAAUCUUAUUCCUCUGGUUAUUCCCAUGAGGGAUAAAACAUGGCUUGGAUAACAUAAUUAGAUUCCUCUCCGCAGCCUCAAUGUAAGUGAUGACAAAUUAAUGGUAAACAGAGCAGUGGACGCUCUUCUUAUUAGCAGCGGGCCCUGGUCCAGAUGCCUUCAGGAACAUAAAAAAACAGACAAACUUGUUAAUUGACGUGUCCAUAAGAAUGUGUUGACAGUGCUGUCAUAAAUAAUAAGUUCAUUGCAGCAUAACGCCACUUUAUCUAGCAAACACUGUUGCAUCCAGCUAUUAUCUAUUCUAGCAAUAAAGCUCAAAUAGGUUUCCUCCGCUCCUACACUUAAAAGAAAAUACAUCCAAAGUACCAAUAACUUCAGAAACACGGCGAUCAACAAAGCUUAUUAUCCAGCUCCUUUUUCCGCCCUGUAAUAAAAUCAACAUGGAACAAUUGACCUUGGCGGAACAAAAGCCCUUCCACUCUUCUCUGCCUCAUUCUGGUGGUGCAACAAGACAUUAGAGAGCUGUUUCAUCACUCGACUCUCAUUCCUCCAACAGUCGUUAACAGUCAACAAUAAUGUUGUUGUUUUUAUUAUUAUUUUUUUUUUAUCUCGGUGGUCCAAGGCCGCUUAAUACAAGGCCAUCUAGUUCAGAUUUAUGCAACUAAAGCGUAUGUUGUUUGUGAUCAAUGUGAGGAAUUUAAUGAACUGUUACAAACCACAUUUGACCUCGUUUAUGUCAAUGUGCCUGAAGGGUUUUCAUCAUCCUCCACAGAUGUUUUUAUUUCUUAGAAGAAGCCAUGACUUAACAUUGAUUUUAUCAUUUCGUUUGAAAUUCAUUCAUCCAUAUGCAGAAUCCGCAGCAUUGCUUUAUAGUCAAAAUAUCCCAGCUUGCAUUUCUCCGGUUGUUGGAUUAAUGACUUCUAAUGUUUUAAUGCUCUUGAAUUGACCUAUAAAUUCAUUCAAACUGUGUUUUAUUAAUUGACUCCAGUCACCUUUCCCUUGUGCUAACAUCACAUUUACAUAAAAAUAAUGAAGCAGCGCAGGGACCGGCUCUAAAGACAUUUGCAGAGCAGCUACAUAAAGAGAAAAUGCAUUGCAAGGUUGCAUCAGUUUUUUUUCCUCCUUUGUUGCUACAAAGUAAAUAAAAAACAGAAAAUGGCACAAGAGCUUUGAAGAGAAGGGUGAAUGUACAGUGAAUGUUUUCUCGAGGAACUUUAGGAUGCUUAGGUUACUGUUGAUGAUCAAUUUAUUGUUAAGUGCCGAUUCUCAAAAGGAACUUCUUAGCAGGUCUGGAUCGUACUUAGGAGUUGUCAAGGUUACAAAAUCAGCAAAUCAGAGGCACCGACAGGCGAUCACUCUGUGGCUAUUUGGAGGCUAAAGGUCAGACUCUGGAAGGAUGAUGGAAAGUUGGGUUGAGUCAGCAUUACCAAUAUGGCGACCAUCGCAGAUAGGCUUCAAAACUGCAACACAGAUAAAUGACUUUGCUACAUCAUUUAGCUUAGCUAAGUAUAGUUUAGUUAAGUUCAGCUUGGCUUAGUUUAUCUUAGUUUAUCUUAGCUUAGUUCAGUUUAGCUUAGUUCAGUUUAGUUUAUACUAAAGCAAUUCAUUUGGCCAGUAGAUGAUAAAUUUAUAAAAUGGUUCGUCUAUAACUUGUCAGGUAUAAAACAUGUUUUACUUUUCUGGCCUUUAUAGACGAACCGUUUUAUAAAUUUAUCUCAAUUUAGUUUCAUUAACAGGGAAAGUGUAUGAUGGUAUCAAUCAUUUAUACAAAGACGAAUGGUUGAAAAAAUGCUUGCACCACAUUGAGCAAGCGGUAAAUUUCCACCUAUAGUUCCACAUUACAGUGACACAAGACAUACAUUAAAACCCACUCAACUGAAGA
rnacentral:lncRNA from 1 species